rnacentral:rRNA from 1 species
GACGAACGCUGGCGGCGUGCCUAAUACAUGCAAGUAGAACGCACAGUUUAUACCGUAGCUUGCUACACCAUAGACUGUGAGUUGCGAACGGGUGAGUAACGCGUAGGUAACCUGCCUGGUAGCGGGGGAUAACUAUUGGAAACGAUAGCUAAUACCGCAUAAUAUUAAUUAUUGCAUGAUAAUUAAUUGAAAGGUGCAAUUGCACCACUACCAGAUGGACCUGCGUUGUAUUAGCUAGUAGGUGAGGUAACGGCUCACCUAGGCGACGAUACAUAGCCGACCUGGGAGGGUGAUCGGCCACCCUGGGACUGAGACACGGCCCAGACUCCUACGGGAGGCAGCAGUAGGGAAUCUUCGGCAAUGGACGAAAGUCUGACCGAGCAACGCCGCGUGAGUGAAGAAGGUUUUCGGAUCGUAAAGCUCUGUUGUAAGAGAAGAACGGGUGUGAGAGUGGAAAGUUCACACUGUGACGGUAUCUUACCAGAAAGGGACGGCCAACUACGUG